rnacentral:rRNA from 1 species
UCCGUAGGCGGGCUAAUAAGUCAGGGGUGAAAUCCCACAGCUUAACUGUGGAACUGCCUUUGAUACUGUUAGUCUUGAGUUAUAUGGAAGUAGAUAGAAUGUGUAGUGUAGCGGUGAAAUGCAUAGAUAUUACACAGAAUACCGAUUGCGAAGGCAGUCUACUACGUAUAUACUGACGCUAAUGGACGAAAGCGUGGGGAGCAAACAGGAUUAGAUACCCUGGUAGUCC